CCCGGAUGUAAAUCACUUGUUUAGAGAAAGCCUGGCUUGAAUUUUGGCAGUGGAACCGGGUCUGGACCGGGCCGGGCCGAGCCGAGCCGAGCCAGGUUCUGCAUGGCACCUUCUCUGCAAAUCAGGCUAUGGAUCCAACAAUAUCAUCUUAAUCCAAAUCUCUCCUUCUGUUUUUCGUGGUGCUGGUUCGACUGAUGCCAGAGUGAUUCAGCCUAGUGAGCUGUGAUGGAUUUCCGGGGCAAAAAGUAUGAGCGUGGGAGUAACUGGUCAGACCCUGAGGUGGUUGAGCUGCUGCAGCUUUGGGCCGAUGAGUCUGUUCAGAUGGAACUGGAGAGUUGUCUGAGAAACCAGCAUGUCUUCAACAGGAUAGCUGAAGUCUUGAGGGAAAAGGGGAUCCACAGAACAGGAGACCAGUGCAGGGAGAAGAUCAAGAAAAUGAAACUUGAAUACAGAAGAAUUAAGGACAACAACAAAAUCUGUAGGGGUGGACGGACUUGGAAGUUCUUUGAAGUGAUGGAUAGAGUUUUGUCCAAUAGGCCAAAUAUUUGUUACAGUACUGUGGGUAGCACAGUGAUAACACAGCAGAUACCACCAGGUGUAUUGGCAGCAGGAGAUGGUUAUAUUCAUCAUCACCACCACCAUCAUCUUACUUCUCCACAUGGUAUUUCUCAUUCUCACCAUCCUCAGGAGCUAAUGGAUAUUAAAUGUGAGGAAGUAGACUCGGAUGAACGUAGUGAGACACCUGAACCACCACCACCAAUUGUACUUCCGCAAGCCGCGGAUGAUCAUGGGAUGGAUGGGAGCCUCUUGGAAGGGGGACAUCAUGAUGGGUCACCAGCCGCUAGGCCAGAUAGUCAUACGGAG